ensembl:lncRNA
CAGGGGGUACCGGUACAGAGUCAAUGUGGAGGCUAUAUACAGGGUAUUACGGUACAGAGUCAAUGUGGAGGCUAUAUACAGGGGGUACCGGUACAGAGUCUAUGUGGAGGCUAUAUACAGGGGGUACCAGUACAGAGUCAAUGUGGAGGCUAUAUACAGGGUAUUACGGUACAGAGUCAAUGUGGAGGCUAUAUACAGGGGGUACCGGUACAGAGUCAAUGUGGAGGCUAUAUACAGGGGCACCGGUACAGAGUCAAUGUGGAGGCUAUAUACAGGGGUACUGGUACAGAGUCAAUGUGGAGGCUAUAUACAGGGUAUUACGGUACAGAGUCAAUGUGGAGGCUAUAUACAGGGUAUUACGGUACAGAGUCAAUGUGGAGGCUAUAUACAGGGUAUUACGGUACAGAGUCAAUGUGGAGGCUAUAUACAGGGGGCACUGGUACAGAGUCAAUGUGGAGGCUAUAUACAGGGGGCACCGGUACAGAGUCAAUGUGGAGGCUAUAUACAGGGGUUACCGGUACAGAGUCAAUGUGGAGG